UACGUAGGGUGCAAGCGUUGUUCGGAUUCAUUGGGCGUAAAGGGUGCGUAGGCGGCGCGGUAAGUCGGGUUGUGAAAUCUCGGAGCUUAACUCCGAAACUGCAUUCGAUACUGCCGUGCUUGAGGACUGGAGAGGAGACUGGAAUUUACGGUGUAGCGGUGAAAUGCGUAGAUAUCGUAAGGAAGACCAGUGGCGAAGGCGGCUCACUGGCCCGGAACUGACGCUGAGACGCG
rnacentral:rRNA from 1 species